UAAGCUCCCCAGCGCUGAUGGUACUGCACUCGACAGGGUGUGGGAGAGUAAGACACCGCCGACA
rnacentral:rRNA from 1 species